GGUGCUGGUGCUGGUGGAACCGGUACCGACACUUCCGCGCCAACACCGGCUGGGACGGUAACAGCGACAACCCUCUUCGACGAAAUCCUCGCGCUGCAGACCGAAUCCUCACCGCGCUCAACCUGCCCUGUCGCGUCCUGGAGAUGCCCGCGCAUGAUCUCGGAGCCAGCGCCGCUCGCAAGCGUGAUAUAGAAGUCCUGUUUCCUUCCAGGAUGGCGUCGCCUUCCCCCCACGAUGGACUUAGCACCAGCAAUGCCACCAUAGCUAAGGACAUCAGCGUGGAAUCGGGCUGGGGUGAGGUUACCUCCGCCUCCAACUGCACAGAUUACCAAACGAGACGGCUAGGGACGAGGCUUAAAUCUGAUAUGGCUGGCGGUGCCGGAAAAUUCCCGCAUACAGUGAAUGGAACAGCAAUGGCUGUCCCGAGGAUUAUUGCGGCGUUGUUGGAGCACG
rnacentral:sRNA from 2 species